AGCGGCUUGCAAUCUUGGCUGCACACGCCCGUGGCUCCGAGCGGCCCCGGCCUGGGGUCAAACCAGGAAGGAGGAGGGGUGGACCUCAAGGCUGGGAGAUCCGACUUUAUUUAUGUUGCUUCAACUUGUCCUGAACGGUUAGACGAGGAGCGCUUGCGCGCACACACACCACGGGGAGUCCAAGCCCUCGCUGGCUCGACCCGCCGGCUCAGCGCCCUGCGCGCCCUUGGCCCGCCCGAAGGCCCUGGCGUCAGAGGGCUCGGCGGCGGCCUCCUCCGUGCGUGGUUGGGGAGGACUUGGCCCCAGAAGGGCCACCAGCUGAAUUUUCCCGGACUAGGUGGUCUUGAGCAACUCGGAAAGGUUGCUGAUGAAGACAGCUGUCUCUGUAUAAGGAGGCCUUGGCUGUGGGCCUGGCGAAAUGAUGGUCGGCCCAGUCAUUCAACAGAUGCCUGUGGAACACCUGCUACGCUCCAGAAUAUGGGCCUGAAUGAGACAGGCAACAUGGACCCUACAGUCUAGUCUGAGACGCAACCAAACAACAGGUGUCUUGGCCUUCAUUAGCUGCAUCAAGUGUCUGUCCUCCCCAUGGCCUGGGAGCCCAGCUCUCUGGAGGGCAAGGGGACUGACGGCUUCCUCCCGUCCUGGGCUGAGCCCCCGCCCUGCCUAUCCCGUACCGUGCUGCCGACCCACUCACUGGCCAGACGGAAGGCUCUGACGAGGGAAAAAAAGACAACUUCUCGAAGUGCGUCAGGUGCGAGUCCCAGACCCCGCGUGGUCUCUUCUGACAAAGGCUGGCAGAUAAGAAAUAAAGCUGCCGGUGAUUUGUUGGUCUGACUUUAC
rnacentral:lncRNA from 1 species